CAAGUUCUUCUGUCUCUCUGUGUGGCUGUCUGUAGAAGAUCCACCAGAAGCUGUCGUCGGACCCGGGCAGCUUCCCCACACUGCAGACCAUAGUGCUCCACGAGGUGCAGACCGGCGUGGCCCGCGUCCGCAACUCAGCCACCGAGGCCCUGCUGUGGCUCAAACGAGGACUCAAGUUCCUCAAGGAGUUCCUGUCCCUGGUCAACUCUGGGGAAAGGGAUAUCCCCGGAGCGCUGGGUAAUGCUUAUGGACGGAGUCUGCGGCAGUAUCAUGGAUGGGUUGUGCGAGGUGUAUUUGCUCUGGCCCUCCGAGCAGCGCCAUCAUACAGCAGCUUUGCGGCGGCUCUGGUGUCCAGAGAGGGGGAGGAACUGAAAGAAGGAUUCAAC